GUGGCUUUGGCACACUCUGACUCAGAUUUAUGAGCGUAGUGGAUUAUCCAAGGAAUGGCCGGCACAAGGGCACCAAUAACGACCAGCUGGUGGUCUGAAGAUCCUCUGCUUUUGGUCAAGUACCUGAUAAUUGUGUGAAGUAAAUUAGAGAUACGGCCAGUGCAGCAGUCCAUUUAAAAGACGUCUGGUGGUAGAAAAUAUUGCACUUUAGGGGAUCUCGGGACACAACCAUCAAAUCUGAAAAUCCUUAACGCUCCCACGCUGACGUCAGUUGUUUAUGCUUUGGAGAACAAUAUGUUUUGUCAUUUACAGUAAUGUCAUCCCAUAUUGUAAUCAGAAAGGAAACAAGACCAUAAACAAGGAAUAAAAACAUCUGUACGGAUAAACAUGGACAUAUGCUCUGUUUAAGGCACAUGUUGUAUAAAGUUCCAUGCAUACUAUAUAUGGCAACACAUUUUCAAACGUUAUAACUACAAUAAAAUUAAAAAUAUUUUAUCAAAACC